rnacentral:rRNA from 1 species
UACGGAGGAUCCGAGCGUUAUCCGGAUUUAUUGGGUUUAAAGGGUGCGUAGGCGGACUGAUAAGUCAGUGGUGAAAUGCUGCAGCUUAACUGUAGAAUUGCCGUUGAUACUGUCAGUCUUGAGUACAGUUGAGGUAGGCGGAAUGUGGUGUGUAGCGGUGAAAUGCAUAGAUAUACCACAGAACACCGAUUGCGAAGGCAGCUUACUAAAGUGUCACUGACGCUGAUGCACGAAAGCGUGGGUAUCAAAC